UUGACAUAUAUUAGAACUCCGCAGAGAUGCAGAGGUGCCUUCGGGAGCUUUUAUACAGGUGCUGCACGGCUGUCGUCAGCUCGUGUCGUGAGAUGUUGGGUUAAGUCCCGCAACGAGCGCAACCCUCGUCACUAGUUACUAACGGUUCGGCCGAGGACUCUAGUGAGACUGCCUUCGUAAGGAGGAGGAAGGUGAGGACGACGUCAAGUCAUCAUGGCCCUUACGGCUAGGGCAACACACGUGCUACAAUGGUUGGGACAAUGAGACGCAAUACCGCGAGGUGGAGCAAAUCUAUAAACCCAAUCUCAGUUCGGAUUGUUCUCUGCAACUCGAGAACAUGAAGCUGGAAUCACUAGUAAUCGUAGAUCAGCUAUGCUACGGUGAAUACGUUCCCGGGUCUUGUACUCACCGCCCGUCACACCAUGGGAGUUGAUUUCACCCGAAGCGGGGAAGCUAAACUGGCUACCCUCCACGGUGGAAUUAGCGACUGGGGUGAAGUCGUAACAAGGUA
rnacentral:rRNA from 1 species